rnacentral:rRNA from 1 species
CGCAUCUGUGCAUGCAGCAUAUCAAUAAGCGGAGGAAAAGAAACUAACAAGGAUUCCCCUAGUAACGGCGAGUGAAGCGGGAAGAGCUCAAAUUUGAAAUCUUAAAGGGUUUCCCUUUACGAAUUGUAGUUUAAAGAAGUGUUUUCUGUUGAGGUUUUGGUAAAAGUUCUUUGGAAUAGGACAUCAUAGAGGGUGAGAAUCCCGUAUUUGACCUUUACUUUCAACUUUGUGAUACACUUUCAAAGAGUCGGAUUGUUUGGGAAUGCAGUCCAAAAUGGGUGGUAAAUUUCAUCUAAAGCUAAAUAUUGGCGAGAGACCGAUAGCGAACAAGUACCGUGAGGGAAAGAUGAAAAGAACUUUGAAAAGAGAGUUAAACAGUACGUGAAAUUGUCAAAAGGGAAGCGUUUGACACCAGUGUUGUUUUUCUGAAAAUCAAUUAAAGAACUGUUUAUGCUAAGUUGUUUAGACUUUAUCAGCUAACUGUUUAGUUUUGAGCUUUUCUUUAAUGCACUUUUCAGUUAACAAGUCAACAUCAAUUUCUUUUGCUGUAAAAAAGCUUGAGGAAGGUGGCUUGAGAUUCGUCUUAAGUGUUUAUAGCCUCUUGCCUAUGCAGUCGGAGAGAUUGAGGUCUGCAGCGUAGAUCCUUCGGGGCUAAAUGCAUUUGUGCUAAGUUAUAGCAUUUUAUAGACAACUUGUUGACUAUGAUUUGUCUUGUAGCUUACUCGCUUAUGUUAUUUUACCUACGCUUAGGAUGUUGAUAUGCAUGACUGAUAU